CUGAAAGGAAUACGGUCAGCUCAAAUUUUGGAUGCAUAUUUUUUUCCUUUGUAGUUGGUGUGUUGAAAAGUACGAUAUCCUGGGAAUUGAGAGGAUUCUUCAGUUAGCUUAGAGAUCUGAGACAGUUUACAUCAGUUGAGUUUAAAUCGAAGACUUCUUCAAAGCCAAGUUUCAGUUUUUGUCAAUUGCAGCCUCAUUUGUGUGUUCUGUCAAUGCUCAAGACUUUUGAAAGAACAGUGUAUGUUUUCUUUCUCUAUGGUUUUGUUGGGUGCAUCUAGCACAAUUUGUGCAAUUUGUGAUAAAACACAAGUGAAACUAACAAUUCUUCUGUCCUUGUAGUACUGUUUUGUGACUUUCUUGUGUUUGUAAUUUUCUAUUCUUUGUGUUUUCUAGUACAUGGCAGUCUAGUGUUAAGGACACUCAGGAAUCAUUCUGUGUAGAAGUUUAUGUGGAAAUCACUAACCUUGCCUGGUUCUGGCAUGAAAGAAAUACUGAUAGGGCUGUAAAUAAUGAAAGAAGUACUGGCAAGGCUGUCAAUACUGAAGUGAAAUGAAAUACUGAAUGAAAUAGUGUACUGUCAAGACUGCAUUGAAUACCGGUAAAAUAAGGAAGCAACUUUAUCUCUAGUGAUAUAUAAAUUACAUGCUUUAAGUGACAUAAAUUCAAAGACCAAAAAGAAAAAAGUGAGAAAGAAAGAAGUAGAGUAGUUGGAUAGAAGAUAUUUGAUUAUAGAGUCUUUUAACUUAAAAUAAAAAGAAUAGAGUUUGAAAAAUUACAAAAGAGUAAGUAAAAUUGAAGUGAAGAGGAUGAGUAACCUAGAGUAGUUUAAAAGAGCAUAUUUGAUUACAGAGAGGUUUUUUUAAAUAGGUGUAACCUUUUAAUUACAAACAGUGAGGAAGAUUGAUGUAAAAGAGUAAGGUUUCGAAGUUUCAGAGCUUCAAAAAAGGGGGGGGG